UAGCCAUAUCAUGCUGAAACCCCCACCCCCGGUUUCUGUAUGAUCAUGAAAGUUAAGCAAUGUUGAUCCUGAUUAGUACCUAGAUGGGUGAUUGCUUGGGAAUACCAGGUGG